UCACCAAAGUGGUGGUGAUGUGUUUCUAAUUCCAUUCCCAUAUCACAGCCAGCUUUGAUGAGCU
rnacentral:pre_miRNA from 1 species